UACGUAGGGUGCGAGCGUUAAUCGGAAUUACUGGGCGUAAAGCGUGCGCAGGCGGUUUUGUAAGCCGGAUGUGAAAUCCCCGGGCUUAACCUGGGAAUGGCAUUCGGGACUGCAAGGCUGGAGUGCGGCAGAGGAGACUGGAAUUCCUGGUGUAGCAGUGAAAUGCGUAGAUAUCUGGAGGAACACCGGUGGCGAAGGCGGCAUCCUGGACCAACACUGACGCUGAGGAGCGAAAGCCAGGGGAGCAAACGGG
rnacentral:rRNA from 1 species